rnacentral:rRNA from 1 species
GUGCCAGCCGCCGCGGUAAUACGUAGGGGGCGAGCGUUGUCCGGAAUCACUGGGCGUAAAGGGUGCGUAGGCGGCCCUAUAAGUCAGGUGUGAAAGGCCUCGGCUCAACCGAGGUGAGCACUUGAAACUGUAGGACUUGAGUGCAGGAGAGGAGAGCGGAAUUCCUAGUGUAGCGGUGAAAUGCGUAGAUAUUAGGAGGAACACCAGUGGCGAAGGCGGCUCUCUGGACUGUAACUGACGCUGAGGCACGAAAGCGUGGGGAGCGAACAGGAUUAGAUACCCCUGUAGUCC